AUGCAGGAGCAAACGGUCCCUGAAGGUGGCGCCCCCAGACAGGUGCCACGCGCGGGGCCUCCAGGGGAGGGGCCGAGGCAGGUGUGUGCCUUGGAAGGGCCUGGACACAGCCUGGCUCCCAGCACUGGGUCCCCGCGCCGCGCGGGUGGGGGCGGUCCUGCGGGGACGGCUGCCGCCUGUCAAACGCUCCUCCCAGGACAGCGGCUGGGAGCCAGCUCCCGACUCUCUCAUUCUUUGCCUUAUUUGCCGCUCAGGAAGAGAAGGGGCCCCUCCCACUGCACGAGACACAGGGACCCCAAGACAGAGGUCGCACCACCAACACACACAGCCUGCCAGGACUCGGGGCCCCCACCCUGUUCACCCUCCUACUGCGGGGUCCUCCCGACCCCCACGGUUCCUGCAGCAGCUGCCAUUCCGGAGGGUCUGGCCCUGCCCGCACGCUGUGCAGAGCCGCCCCGACCUGGGCCCCAGCCUGGCAAAGGGCCCCCCCCCGGGGGACCCCUGAUUUCCUCCCAGUGCCCUGGCCAUGUCCUGCUCGUCCUGGGAGCUGCAGACGCUGGCUCCUGCCUUCCACACAGGGUCACCUCGCUGUCACAGCAGGCACAGGGGUGCGCGGCUAAGCCACGAAGGCACCAGCUCGGCAGGCCCUGGUCCCCAGCCGCUGGCUCCACUCACGGUGGCAGGACGCGAGCUCGGCCUGAGGACAGAGGGGCCCCGCUCCGCAGACAGGAGCCCAGCUACAGCUCCCGGGAGGGCUUCGCGCCGAGGAGGGGAGGCAGGAACAUGGUCCUGCCGGGGGGAGGGGGCGCAGCACCCACCAGGGCAGAAGGAGCAGCUGCAGGCCACGGAGAUGCCCAGGCUGUGACCCACAGGCCGGGAGCGGCAGCGGGCCCAGACGGAGCCCUCGCCCUGCGAUCUUCCCACGGUGCAGGUGCAGGGCACACGGGGCGCUGCAGCGUGGGCAGAGGCAGGGGCACCUGCUGGAACCGCUCCCGCCGCCGUGCCAGCUGA
rnacentral:lncRNA from 1 species